UGCAGAUAAGUAUACUGUAGUGGCACGAGAUGGUGCCAAAAUAGUCGUUUGCAGUGAUAGAGGCGUUCAGUUUUCGAGGAAUGUGCAAGACGCUAAGCGAGUGCCAGAAACCUUCAAUGAAUCUGCAACGGAGUUACUAUCGGCCAACGAACAUUUGAACGAACAAGGACAGAGCUCUACACAGAAUAACGAAGAAAACAGAUUAAAUCGUGGUUUGAAUUCGGAUGAUAAACGAGAUCUGCAUUCCACUAUGGAUGACGAACCAAGGAGGUCAACUCGUGAAUUGAAGAAACCUUCUAAAUUUAAGGACAUGCUUCUUUAUACAAUAUUUGGAUAGUUGUGUUUGAUAAAUAACGAUUGCAUUAUGUAGUAUAAAAUAAAAUAAUGAUAAAGCAAAUUAGUAAAAAAAUAAAUCAAUAUUUAUCGUUUAUCAGACUUUGAGUAUUUUUUAAAAGAGUAGGACUAACGAAUAAUGUAAGGAGAUAAUGAAGGACUGUGAAUUUUAGAAUGCAAAUAGAUAAUAA